rnacentral:tRNA from 1 species
UCCCUGCUGGCUCAGAUGGUAAAGCGUCUGCCUGCAAUGCGGGAGACCUGGGUUCGAUCCCUGGGUUGGGAA